rnacentral:rRNA from 1 species
CCUACGGGUGGCAGCAGUGGGGAAUAUUGCACAAUGGGCGAAACCCUGAUGCAGCGACGCCGCGUGAGUGAAGAAGUCCUUCGUUAUGUAAAGCUCUAUCAGCAGGGAAGAAAAUGACGGUACCUGAGUAAUAAGCCCCGGCUAACUACGUGCCAGCAGCCGCGGUCAUACGUAGGGGGCAAGCGUUAUCCGGAUUUACUGGGUGUAAAGGGAUCUUAGACGGGAGUGCAAGUCUGCAGUGAAAGGCGGGGGCUCAACCCCCGGACUGCUCUGGAAACUGGAAGGCUGGAGUGCAGGAGAGGUAAGUGGAAUUCCUAGUGUAGCGGUGAAAUGCGUAGAUAUUAGGAGGAACACCAGUGGCGAAGGCAGCUUACUGGACUGUAACUGACGUUGAGGCUCGAAAGCGUGGGGAGCAAACAGGAUUAGAUACCCCUGUAGUC